GCACCCUCGGCCCCGCCCCUAAGCCCGCCCACAGCGCGCCUGUACCCGCCGCGCCCCCACCGCCUAUUGACGCCCGGGGAUCUCCCACCUGGGCCGUGCCAAACUCAGUCUGGAGCGGCUUCGAGAGCAGGGGAGGGUCUCUGGGACUUUUGAUUCAGCCCUUGGGCCCAGAGUGGCCUCCUCUAGAACGGAUCUAGCGUGGACAAGCAUGGCAGUGUCCCUUCGGGGCUCACACCAGGGGGCCGACAAUGCGUUUCCCUGUACUGAAGAAGGGAGAGGCCUGGGACACGCUGCAAGGAGGAAACGAGGAAAGAGGCCAAGAACUAAGCUGGCCACAGAACUGAGAGGAGAGCUUGUGGGACCGUGUGCUCAAGCAGACAAGGGAAGAGGGACUUCCCGUAGCUUACGGAGACCACAGAGAGCAAGUCCACCAGGACGCCCGAGAGCCUGGACCACCUUUACCGGGUAUUCAGCACACGCGCCACAGCUACAGAGCCUGUGCUCCCCAGGAGAGAAGCCCCCGCGGUGAGAAGCUCCUGCAGCAACGAAGACCCGCAGAGCCGAAAAGAAUUCAAUCUUCUUAAAAGCGAACGGUGGGUUGGCGGGAUGAACCUGCACUGUGUGUGCCCUGCCACACGGGGGCGCCAGGCUCGCCGGCAGACGGAAGCAUCUGCUGCGACCCCGCGUCCUCCGGGUCAGAACACCGCCGAGAGAAGAGGCCUCUCUCCCCUUCCUUCCUCCCUUCUUUUCCACCUUUUCCUGUGUACAGUCACCGCUGUUAAAAUAUACAGCCUCGAACAACGUC
ensembl:lncRNA